GAGUUUGAUCAUGGCUCAGGAUGAACGCUAGCGGCACGCUUCAUACAUGCAAGUCGAGGGGCAGCAUAAAGUACUUGUACUUUGAUGGCGACCGGCGAACGGGUGCGUAACGCGUAUGCAACUUACCUUUUACUAGAGAAUAGCCAAGAGAAAUUUUGAUUAAUGCUCUAUAAACUUAUUAAUUCUCAUGAAUCUAUAAGAAAAGCUCCGGCGGUAAAAGAUGGGCAUGCGUCCUAUUAGCUUGUAGGUGAGGUAACGGCUCACCUAAGCUCCGAUAGGUAGGGGUCCUGAGAGGGAGAUCCCCCACACUGGUACUGAGACACGGACCAGACUUCUACGGAAGGCAGCAGUAAGGAAUAUUGGACAAUGGAGGCAACUCUGAUCCAGCGAUGCCGCGUGAAGGAAGACGGCCCUAUGGGUUGUAAACUUCUUUUAUACAGGAAGAAACCUUUCCACGUGUAGAAAGCUGACGGUACUGUAAGAAUAAGGAUCGGCUAACUCCGUGCCAGCAGCCGCGGUAAUACGGAGGAUCCAAGCGUUAUCCGGAAUUAUUGGGUUUAAAGGGUCCGCAGGCUGUUUGUUAAGUCAGGGGUGAAAUCCUACCGCUCAACGGUAGAACUGCCUUUGAUACUGGCAAACUUGAGUUAUUGUGAAGUAGUUAGAAUGUGUAGUGUAGCGGUGAAAUGCAUAGAUAUUACACAGAAUACCGAUUGCGAAAGCAGAUUACUAACAAUAUACUGACGCUGAGGGACGAAAGCGUGGGUAGCGAACAGGAUUAGAUACCCUGGUAGUCCACGCCGUAAACGAUGGUCACUAGCUGUUUGAUGUACAUUGGUACAUUGAGUGGCUAAGCGAAAGUGAUAAGUGACCCACCCUGGGGAGUACGCUCGCAAGAGUGAAACUCAAGGGAAUUGACNGGGCCCGCACAAGCGGUGNGCAUGUGGUUUAAUUCGAUGAUACGCGAGGAACCUUACCAGGACUUAAAUGUAAGUUGCA
rnacentral:rRNA from 1 species